AGCGAACGCUGGCGGCAGGCUUAACACAUGCAAGUCGAACGCCCCGCAAGGGGAGUGGCAGGCGGGUGAGUAACACGUGGGAACGUACCCUUUGGUUCGGAAUAACUUGGGGAAACUCAAGCUAAUACCGGUUAAGCCCUUAUGGGGAAAGGUUUACUGCCGAAGGAUCGGCCCGCGUCUGAUUAGCUAGUUGGUGAGGUAAUGGCUCACCAAGGCGACGAUCAGUAGCUGGUCUGAGAGGAUGAUCAGCCACACUGGGACUGAGACACGGCCCAGACUCCUACGGGAGGCAGCAGUGGGGAAUAUUGGACAAUGGGGGCAACCCUGAUCCAGCCAUGCCGCGUGAGUGAUGAAGGCCUUAGGGUUGUAAAGCUCUUUUACCCGGGACGAUAAUGACUGUACCGGGAGAAUAAGCCCCGGCUAACUUCGUGCCAGCCGCCGCGGUAA
rnacentral:rRNA from 1 species